GGAUAAAUUCUCAGAAAAAAUAGAAGUCAUAAAAUCAAACUAAAUAUAAAUACAAAUAAAAUAAAUGAAAAAUUAAAAAAAAACCUCUCUGGAGAGACUCAAGAACAAGUAACUAUGAAACUAAAAUCCAUGCAUUAGAGAAGACACUUAACACUGUUAACUAGAGAAGCACAAACCGUAGUUAUCACAGUCCAGCAGGGCGAGCAACGGCUCUGCUCAGAAGUGAGAGGUCUGAAAGUAACUCCUGGUGUCCCUGAUGGUGAAAUCUGGCCCCUGAUCCCAGGGUUCCUCCCUCUUCGUGCUCGGAGGGCUAGACCUAGCAGUGAAGGGUUCCCAACCUCACCCCAUGUGGCCCCUCCAGAAGGCAGAGCCCAUUCUCGCUGAUACUCCCGAUCUCCAGUAACACAAAGUGAAAGAGAAUGUCUUAACCAGAGUACAGCCCCUUGGCCUAUCUGAACAUAUUUCAAAGUUUAAAUGUACAGUGAGCAUAGGAUGCUGAGCAGAGGGCCCCUGGACAGUGGCUGGAAUUGGGAGCAGUGCAGGAUGGAAGGACAGGUCAGGGGCCCUGAGCACCUGCACCUGCACAUGCACCUGCCCAGGGUGGACAUGACUCCCGCAUUCACCAGAGGGCGCUGUGGUCUAAGCAACUAAUCAGAGCUCCCCAGAUCCUCUGCUGUUUUCCCUCCACCUGCUGGUGUUUCUGUGCCCUCCAGAUGUUGCUCCUCCCCCUUCUACGACCUUUCCACUUUUCAGCCAUAACCUUGUCUGAGGUCAAAGGAGGGGGUUGUGCAACCUCCAGAAAGGGAGAAAUUUGCAUGGAGCCCUCCCACUCUGAGGAUAUGUGUGACAGAUAAGAAGGGCUGGUGGGCUCAGUCCUGGCGGUAGCUCAGGAAGCAGAGCCUGGAGCAUCUCCACUAUGGCCUGGGCUCCACUACUUCUCACCCUCCUCGUUCACUGCACAGGCUCUUGGGCCAAUUUUAUGCUGACUCAGCCCCACUCUGUGUCUGGGUCUGUGGGACAGAAAGUCAUCAUCUGCUGCACCCGCAGCAGUGGCAGCAUUGGGAGCUACUACGUGCAGUGGUACCAGCAGCACUCAGGCAGUGCCCCAACCACAGUGAUUAACAAAGGUAACCAAAGACCCUCUGGGGUCCCUGAUCGGUUCUCUGGCUCCAUCGACAGCUCCUCCAACUCUGCCUCCCUCACCAUCUCUGGACUGAAGACUGAAGACGAGGCUGACUACUACUGUCAGUCUUAUGAUAGCAGCAAUCACACAGUGCUCCAGACUCAUGGGGAAGUGAGACAGAAACUCCCCAGAGCAUCUCUACCUGGGCCAGUCUCAGCCUGUCUCCACCAGAGAGGGUAGCUCUCCCAUCUCUCCUGCCUAAGUGCUUGAGGUGAAGUUUGGUUAUGACUUCCUCUUUUCCUUUUCAAAAUACCAAUCUGUUCUUCCACACCUUGAUGGCUGAUUUUCUGAUAUGUGCACGAUCAAUUGUGGGAUAAAUGUAGUUUAUAAUAGGGUCUCUGAGCCACGCCAUUAUUGAUGUUCUGGUUGGGGCUGCCUUCCACAGUGUAAGAUAUUGACUUGCAUCUCUAGCCUCUACCCUUAGAUACUAUUAACACCCUCCCCUCAUUUGUGACAACAAGACUGUCUUGAGACACUGCCACAUGUCCCAUGCUUGGGGACAAAAUCAGCUGAGGUUGAGAUACUCAAUUAAAGAGCAUGUCUUCAGCUACUAAGAA